AUUUGUUUCCACCUCAUAACCUGUUGCAAUAAAUAUUACUUCUCAUACAGUUUAAUAUUGUUGUUUGUUGGAGAAAAUGAACCAUAAAAAUUGAUUUGCUGUUCAGUUUUCAAUUAUUCAAGUAUACCCAAUUAAAGAUGCAGUUAUGUUUAUAAAAUAAGAAGAAAUAGACUUGUAAAAUGCUUAUGUGAGGGUUAUUGAAGGUUUCCCUGAAGACUGACUGGAAAUGGUGGCUGUUUUUUUCUAUUUCUGACUCUGCCAUGAAUUUUUUUUUUUUUUUUUAAAGACAAUAUCUCACUCUGUUGCCUAGGCUGGAGUGCAGUGGUGCAACCACAGCUCACUGCACCUUCAAAUGCUGGAGCUCAGGCAAUCCUCUUACCUCCGCUUUCCAAGCAGCUGGGACCACAGAUGGAGUUUUGCUCUUGUCACCCAGGCUGGAGUGUAGUGGUGCAAUCUCAGCUCACUGCAACCUCUGUCUCCCAGGUUCAAAUGGUUCUCGUGCCUCAGCCUCCCGAGUAGCUGGGGUUACAGAUGUAUCCUCCACUCCUCGCUGGCCACCAUCCUGCUGCCCAACAGAAGAAGCUCUUCUGUCUCCGAUUUCCUGAACGGUCUAAGGGAGCCAGUGGGCUAGGCCCAUGCUUUGGUUCAAAGCGUUUGGAGAACAUCUUCUUGCUCCUUUUCCGGAAACGAGAUAAUGGACACAGAGUCCCAGACGUCAUCCUUU
rnacentral:lncRNA from 1 species